UAUUAAAUUUAAAAGUGUCCUAAAUAUUCAAAAUUAAUCAAAUAGUAUGAAGAAUGAAUGAUUUACAAGUUAUUAAAUUUAAAAUAAAUUUGCAUAAUGACAAAAUUAGCCCCUAACGUUUGGGUGUUGGGUCACUUUGGCCUUUAAGGUUUUUUUUGGAGCACUUUCAUACAUAACCUUUGUUUUUUUGGUCAAAAUAGUCAUUUUUAACGGUCUUGCUGAGGUGGUCAUUAAGGGACUAACGGCAUUGAUGUGGAAAUUUUUUUCCCACCUAGGCGCUACAUGUAUGUAGAUGCUGAUGUGGCAUAUAAGACAAAAUAAUACCAUGUCAGCAAAUGAAUUUAAACUUAAAAAAUAAUUAAAAUAAAAAAAAAACAUUUAGAAAAAUUUUGGGGUUUACUCACAAUUAAAAAAAUUAAAACAAGUUAAACAUUAACUAGUAAAGAGAAGCUUGAUCGAUCAUAACAAAAAACUGAAGCCUAACUUUUGAAUCAGUUAAUCAAAACAAAAUAUUAGAACCCUAACAUGAGAAGGAAAAAAAAUAUUAGGGUAUAUUUUUUAUAAUUUUCACUUUCAAACUAUUAUAUAUGUUAUUUUGGUUAAUGUUUAGGGUUCUUGGGUUGGGGAUUUUGGUUUAGGUUUUAAAACUUUGGGGAUUUUCAGGGAUUUUCAGGUUAUGAGAUUGUUGAUUUUGGGGAUUUGCGGGUUUAAGGUUCAUUUAUAACGUGUUUUCUCUUAGCUCUUUUGCGGUGAAGAAUGGUGAAGGUUCAUACUCCAAAUCAUAGAGAAGAAAAGUUCCUUUUGCUAAGAAGUUUUUCUGCCUACUUUGCCAAACUAGAGAUCCCAUCUUUUGCAGGUUCAACAUUUGCAAUGUUGUAGUUUCAUUGAGUUCUGCAUCUUUGGUACAAACAAUUUUCCAAGGACUUUGCUAAUGUAUUUGACAAAUAUACCUUAUUCCUUCACCAAUUAUUUCCUUACCAUCCUUUGUAACUUUAAGUUCAAGAGCAUUGUUAUAAACCAUAACCUCCGGUAUGUAGUCUUCAACAUGUCCUUUUUGAAGAAGAAGCUUUAUGUUUAAUAUGUUUGCUGGUUGCUGUU